AACAAUGAACCCAGUGGAACAUCUGCCCACUGAGAGGUCUGUUACAACAGGGCAGGGCAUCAUACUCCUAAACAAUGAACCCAGUGGAACAUCUGCCCACUGAGAGGUCUGUUACAACAGGGCAGGGCAUCAUCCUCCUAAACAAUGAACCCAAUGGAACAUCUGCCCACUGAGAGGUCUGUUACAACAGGGCAGGGCAUCAUCCU